AUUGAACGCUGGCGGCAUGCUUUACACAUGCAAGUCGAACGGCAGCGCGGGGGCAACCCUGGCGGCGAGUGGCGAACGGGUGAGUAAUGCAUCGGAACGUAUCCUGUAAUGGGGGAUAACGUAGCGAAAGUUACGCUAAUACCGCAUACGCUCGAGAGAGGAAAGUGGGGGAUCGCAAGACCUCACGUUAUAGGAGCGGCCGAUGUCCGAUUAGCUAGUUGGUGGGGUAAAGGCCUACCAAGGCGACGAUCGGUAGCUGGUCUGAGAGGAUGAUCAGCCACACUGGGACUGAGACACGGCCCAGACUCCUACGGGAGGCAGCAGUGGGGAAUUUUGGACAAUGGGCGAAAGCCUGAUCCAGCCAUGCCGCGUG
rnacentral:rRNA from 1 species